rnacentral:rRNA from 1 species
GUGGUCAACCUACCCUCGAGUGGGGGAUAACUAGCCGAAAGGCUAGCUAAUACCGCAUAAUACCGUAGCCGGCAUCGGCAUCGGUUGAAAGCAGCAAUGCUCUCGGAGACGGGACCGCGUCCGAUUAGUUAGUUGGUGGGGUAACGGCCUACCAAGACUCCGAUCGGUAGCUGGUUUGAGAGAACGACCAGCCACACUGGGACUGAGAACGGCCCAGACUCCUACGGGAGGCAGCAGUGAGGAAUUUUCCGCAAUGGGCGAAAGCCUGACGGAGCGACGCCGCGUGUGGGAAGAAGGCCUUCGGGUCGUAAACCACUGUCGAGGGGGAAGAUAUUGACGGUACCCCUGGAGGAAGCCCCGGCUAACUACGUGCCAGCAGCCGCGGUAAGACGUAGGGGGCAAGCGUUAUUCGGAAUUAUUGGGCGUAAAGCGCUCGUAGGCGGGACGGGAAGUCCGUGAAGAAAGACCUGGGCUCAACUCAGGGACCGGCACGGAUACUCUCGUUCUUGAGGCAAUCAGAGGGUGAUGGAAUU